rnacentral:rRNA from 1 species
GAUGAACGCUGGCGGCGUGCCUAAUACAUGCAAGUCGAGCGAACGGACGAGAAGCUUGCUUCUCUGAUGUUAGCGGCGGACGGGUGAGUAACACGUGGAUAACCUACCUAUAAGACUGGUAUAACUUCGGGAAACCGGAGCUAAUACCGGAUAAUAUUUUGAACCGCAUGGUUCAAAAGUGAAAGACGGUCUUGCUGUCACUUAUAGAUGGAUCCGCGCUGCAUUAGCUAGUUGGUAAGGUAACGGCUUACCAAGGCAACGAUGCAUAGCCGACCUGAGAGGGUGAUCGGCCACACUGGAACUGAGACACGGUCCAGACGACUACGGGAGGCAGCAGUAGGGAAUCUUCCGCAAUGGGCGAAAGCAUGACGGAGCAACGCCGCGUGAGUGAUGAAGGUCUUCGGAGCGUAAAACUCUGUUAUUAGGGAAGAACAUAUGUGUAAGUAAAUGUGCACAUCUUGACGGUACCUAAUCAGAAAGCCACGGCUAACUACGUG